CUUUCAAGAGCAUAUGGAUGAUCCUCAGUCUCCUCGAGUUAAUUCAAAUUGCUCAAGUAUUCCUCUUCUUGGUUGCAUCAUGGACACUCUUGUUCAUCUUUUUACGAUCUUUUCUGACGAACAAGGCAAACAAGUCGUCGACACUGCGGUUGCGGAAAAUCGUGCAGCUCAUAAACACUUUAGGCAACUCAACUGUGUUAAACUCAACUAGCCCAUGAUGAUAAGUUUUUCUUAGUAUCUUUGGUUUUUCGUUUGUCUUGAUUUAUAUCUAAAAAGUAUUUUUUUAUAUGUUAUAUAUAGAAUUAGUUACGAAAGACUAGAAUUUUCUAUGAUGUAUGAAAAUUUUGCAUCAAUGAAAAAUAUUUUGGAUUCAUAUCAUGUGGAGUUUUCUCCUUGGAGCAAGAAGAAAAGUAUGCCUUCAUUAAGAAAUUCGACUCUUAAGUCUCCUUAAUCCAGAUGAUCCCUAUGUAAAUAUGUCCCAUCUUCUUUUCUUUCUUUCUUUUGGUCAAAUUCUUUUUUUUUGUUUGUCUUUUUGCAAUAUCCAAUUACAUUCAAGUAUUUUAUACAAAUGUUUAUAAGCAAACCGUUAGAUUCAAAAAUAAAUACCUUCUCAUAUAUAAGCUUUUAAAUUCUUUGAAAAAUUAAGUUUUUGAAUCUUAGUAUAGCUGAUAGACAAUGUUUCAAUCUUGUAUAUGAUGCUAGAAAGAGAAAAUCUCUUGGAUCAUCGAUUUUUGGCUACUGGUAUUGGACUUCGAUUCGUCAUCACUUCUCGUAUCAAUCGAUCCACGGCUAGUGGUCAUUAACAUGUUUUGACGUACAAACUAUGGAUCAAUCGAUCUUAGGUGUCCUCUACUUCUUUUCUCGAUCGUUUUUUUUCGAACAAGCCUAUAACGUAUCAAAACUUCCAAAUCCCGCAAAAGCACCUAGUACAGUAAAAGACUCAACACAAGACCAAAAAGACGGCCUACGACGCGACAAAUGACUCAAAAACAAAAACUAAAUGAAUGACUUAAGACACUAAAAAUGCAACAUAUCACUAGGCUUAUAAACCAGACGCCACAAAUGACUCAAAAACAAAAGCUAAAUGAAGGAUUUAAGACUCUAUAAACGCAACAUAUCACCUAGUCCUAUAAACCGUACACCACCUACAAAUGAAAAAUAAUUUAUUUUUCUAUUUUGUAUCCAAGUUUGAUUUUGAUUUUGAUUUAGCAGUGAAAUCUCUCGUCUCAUGUCAUAUGUAAGAUGAUUUUGAAUGAUCGUUCAUCUUCAUUUGAUACCCAAAUAGUUCCUUUCCAAUACAUAUGAACACAAACCAAGAUAUAUCAAAUUCAUUCCUAAAUGCCCUAUAGACUCAAAGCAAAACACAUAAUACAGACUACCAAGUUCUUUUGGUAUUGCCCUUUUUUAUGUUUCAAUAUUUUAGCUUAUCUUUUCUGAUUUAGAUGUACAUAACAGUAUUUUAUUGUUGAGAAAAUAAAUAGAA